GCUGCUACUGUUUCUGUCCUUUCGUUCUUUCUAUUUUGCAGGUGGCGAUGGAGUCAACGGUGGGACGGAGACCCUCGCUUU
rnacentral:pre_miRNA from 1 species